rnacentral:rRNA from 1 species
ACUCCUACGGGAGGCAGCAGUGAGGAAUAUUGGACAAUGGGUGGAAGCCUGAUCCAGCCAUCCCGCGUGUAGGACGACUGCCUUAUGGGUUGUAAACUACUUUUAUCUGGGGAUAAACCUACCCACGUGUGAGUAGCUGAAGGUACCAGAAGGAUAAGCACCGGCUAACUCCGUGCCAGCAGCCGCGGUAAU